rnacentral:tRNA from 1 species
GGAAGGGUGGCCGAGAGGCCGAAGGCAGUCGCCUGCUAAGCGAUUGUAGGGGCUAAAACCUCUACCGAGGGUUCGAAUCCCUCCCCUUCCGCCA